GACUGUUUCGCAGAGGAAAGGGUGUAAUCCGCAUCAGUGGCAAUAGGUGCCAUGGGAAGGCACUGUAGGAUGGAGGCUUAAUUUCUUUCCUGGCCCACCGCUGCUGCCCCUGAGGAGCUCCUCACACCGCCUGGUCGGAGUGUACGGUGCAGUGAAAGUCAUCCACAUAUUGGAGUAAUGUGAAAAUCAACGCAGAUGUCCAAAAAAUGAUUAGCUGAGCAUGCAUCCACAGAAUGAAUAAAACUCAUGCUGUUGAAUGCAAGAUCAAGAACUGUUGAAUUUUGACCUCAGCACUGAUCUUCUGCUCUACCCUGACCUGCAUUAAGAAAAUCGGAUCAGAUGAUGCCAGCUAGACAAACUCAGUCCACUGGGUUUGAAAAGGCAGGGAGAGAAGCUUUUUCCAUAGUUGCAGCCAUGAACAUUUUUAUCUCCUGUGUGUGUUCUUUGCUUUCCAAUAACAGGUAAGCUCAGGUGUAUUAAUAUUAUUCAGUAAUAAAGCAAUCAGUCACAAAGUACA
rnacentral:lncRNA from 1 species